GUGGGGAAUAUUGGACAAUGGGCGAAAGCCUGAUCCAGCCAUGCCGCGUGAGUGAUGAAGGCCCUAGGGUUGUAAAGCUCUUUCAGUGGGGAAGAUAAUGACGGUACCCACAGAAGAAGCCCCGGCUAACUUCGUGCCAGCAGCCGCGGUAAUACGAAGGGGGCUAGCGUUGUUCGGAUUUACUGGGCGUAAAGCGCACGUAGGCGGAUUGUUAAGUCGAGGGUGAAAUCCCAGGGCUCAACCCUGGAACUGCCUUCGAUACUGGCAAUCUUGAGUCCGGAAGAGGUGAGUGGAACUCCUAGUGUAGAGGUGGAAUUCGUAGAUAUUAGGAAGAACACCAGUGGCGAAGGCGGCUCACUGGUCCGGUACUGACGCUGAGGUGCGAAAGCGUGGGGAGCAAACAGGAUUAGAUACCCUAGUAGUCC
rnacentral:rRNA from 1 species